rnacentral:lncRNA from 1 species
GUGGUGCGCAAUGGACGGGCAAAUUAUUCUGAUCCUCCUGUCUGUUAUGUUCCUCUUUUGUAGCUGUUGGACCUGGCGCAGGAGGUGGACCCGUCCCUGGAACAUUAGGUCUGAAUCAGUUUGGUGCUGGCCAGGGGGGUGGCAAACCACCGAAACCAGGCUAUGGCAAUUUGGGAGCAGGAUAUCCUCAACAAGGUGGUGUUGUGCCUGGUUAUGGAGCUGGACAGGCCUACCCACAGGCCUACCCAGGAUAUGGAGGUGUACUGUCGCCACAGCAAGGUGCUCUUUUAUUCUGUAGUUGUCAAAUAACAUUUGUCAUAUAUUUAACUGAUAUUUGCAUUGAUAUUUGCAUUGAACUGGAUUUACAUACAGACACAGACAUACAUUACCUUGGAACUGCUAUUUUUGUCCACUUAUACCAGAUCUACAACAUAACUGGGCUCAUGAAAGAUUAUAUACAAUCAAAUAUAUUUCGUGGAGUGAGGCUUCAAUGUUAACAAUUGCAUUCAGUUCAAUACUAUCACUCACACCUCAAGGACUGAAUACAUUUACUUAAAGAGCAUCCUUAUUAUUAAAUUCAAUGGGAAUGCAAUUUCAACCUAGACACUCCUGAAGUGUACUUUUGAGUGCAUUGUUUUGGCUGAAGGGACAUAAAGUUCGAGCUACACCAAGCGGAGGAACAUAUGUUUGGUGUAAUUAGUGAAUCCUUUUCCUCC